GACGAACGCUGGCGGCGUGCUUAACACAUGCAAGUCGAACGGAAAGGCCCUGCUUUUGUGGGGUGCUCGAGUGGCGAACGGGUGAGUAACACGUGAGUAACCUGCCCUUGACUUUGGGAUAACUUCAGGAAACUGGGGCUAAUACCGGAUAGGAGCUCCUGCUGCAUGGUGGGGGUUGGAAAGUUUCGGCGGUUGGGGAUGGACUCGCGGCUUAUCAGCUUGUUGGUGGGGUAGUGGCUUACCAAGGCUUUGACGGGUAGCCGGCCUGAGAGGGUGACCGGCCACAUUGGGACUGCGAUACGGCCCAGACUCCUACGGGAGGCAGCAGUCGGGAAUAUUGCACAAUGGGCGGAAGCCUGAUGCAGCAACGCCGCGUGCGGGAUGACGGCCUUCGGGUUGUAAACCGCUUUCGCCUGUGACGAAGCGUGAGUGACGGUAAUGGGUAAAGAAGCACCGGCUAACUACGUG
rnacentral:rRNA from 1 species